AAAAUCGGACUUAGUGAUCCGGUGGUUCUGCGUGGAAGGGCCAUCGCUCAACGGAUAAAAGCUACCCUGGGGAUAACAGGCUUAUCUCCCCCAAGAGUCCACAUCGACGGGGAGGUUUGGCACCUCGAUGUCGGCUCAUCACAUCCUGGGGCUGUAGUAGGUCCCAAGGGUUGGGCUGUUCGCCCAUUAAAGUGGUACGCGAGCUGGGUUCAGAACGUCGUGAGACAGUUCGGUCCCUAUCCGUCGCAGGCGUAGGAAAUUUGAGAAGACCUGUCCUUAGUACGAGAGGACCGGGAUGGACGUACCUCUGGUGUACCAGUUGUUCUGCCAAGGGCAUGGCUGGGUAGCUAUGUACGGAAUGGAUAAGCGCUGAAAGCAUCUAAGCGCGAAGCCAACUUCAAGAUAAGAUUUCCCACCGCAAGGGUAAGACCCCAGAAAGACUAUCUGGUUGAUAGGUCGAAGGUGUAAGUGCAGCAAUGUAUUUAGCUUAUCGAUACUAAUAGGUCGAGGACUUGACCAAU
rnacentral:rRNA from 1 species